rnacentral:rRNA from 1 species
AGCAGUAGCCACGGUAAAACGUAGGUGGCAAGCGUUGUCCGGAGUUAUUGGGCGUAAAGGGCUCGCAGGCAGUUUCUUAAGUCUGAUGUGAAAGCCCCCGGCUCAACCGGGGAGGGUCAUUGGAAACUGGGAAACUUGAGUGCAGAAGAGGAGAGUGGAGUUCCACGUGUAGCGGUGAAAUGCGUAGAGAUGUGGAGGAACACCAGUGGCGAAGGCGACUCUCUGGUCUGUAACUGACGCUGAGGGGCGAAAGCGUGGGGAGCGAACAGGAUUAGAUACCCCCGUAGUCCCUGUCUCUUAUAA